AUACGUAGGGGGCGAGCGUUGUCCGGAAUGAUUGGGCGUAAAGGGCGCGUAGGCGGCCUGUUAAGUCUGGAGUGAAAGUCCUGUUUUCAAGAUGGGAAUUGCUUUGGAUACUGAUGGGCUUGAGUGCAGGAGAGGUUAUCGGAAUUCCCGGUGUAGCGGUGAAAUGCGUAGAGAUCGGGAGGAACACCAGUGGCGAAGGCGGGUAACUGGACUGCAACUGACGCUGAGGCGCGAAAGUGUGGGGAGCAAACAGGAUUAGAUACCCUGGUAGUCCACACUGUAAACGAUGAAUGCUAGGUGUUGCGGGUAUCGACCCCUGCAGUGCCGGAGUAAACACAAUAAGCAUUCCGCCUGGGGAGUACGGCCGCAAGGUUGAAACUCAAAUGAAUUGACGGGG
rnacentral:rRNA from 1 species